rnacentral:snoRNA from 1 species
CUGCCGGGAUGAUCCCACCGAACUCUCUCUUGCCGAUGCCCCGUGGGGGAAGCUUUACAUCAGGCUCUGAGCGGC